rnacentral:rRNA from 1 species
UACGUAGGUGGCAAGCGUUGUCCGGAUUUACUGGGCGUAAAGAGCGCGCAGGCGGUCGGUUAAGUCGAGUGUGAAAGCCCCUGGCUCAACCAGGGAGGGUCAUUCGAUACUGUUCGACUCGAAGGCAGGAGAGGGAAGUGGAAUUCCGGGUGUAGUGGUGAAAUGCGUAGAUAUCCGGAGGAACACCAGUGGCGAAGGCGACUUUCUGGCCUGUUCUUGACGCUGAGGCGCGAAAGCUAGGGGAGCAAACGGG